CAGUUAUUAUGGCAGCAGGACGGUGCCCAUGGAAGUCGGAAUCUGCUAAGGAGUGUGUAACAAUUCACCUGCCGAAUCAACUG
rnacentral:ncRNA from 1 species